rnacentral:lncRNA from 1 species
AAGUCAGAAGAGGAGCUGGACUUCUAUAGCUAAUCAACGACUAAUUUCUACCUUCAGCAAAAUGUCUACCAAAGUCAAGUAAUAGGGCCUGAUCUGAAGCCGCAAUGAGUCUUCAGAUGUCAAAUAUGCCCUGAAUGCUGUGAAUGCAGAAGAUGAAAUAAUUAAUAUCAACUGGGAGAGCCAAGGAGCAAUGGGGAGUUGUGAAAAUAUUUUGUCAUAUAAAUAACAUGAAAAUUCUAAACAAGACAGUGAUGCUAACGAUUAAUUGUCAGAGUCUUUUUAAGAUAAGAGUAUCAGUUUGGGAAUAUAAAGAAGUGUGUUGUUGUCAUAAAAGUGGUGACUAAGAAAGUAAAUUCCGUUACUGAAGAAUGCCCACCAAGAAUAAAGAAUUGGAUGCAAAGCAGUAAGAGUUCAUUUGUUUUUGUAAUUCUGUUAUUAUUAACCUAUUAUUUUUUCUUCUGAGCCCAAGCUUGAUACUGUAUCUGAAGCACUGGGAUGGUUUAGUAAUUUAAAAUGUAAAACUUAAUAGAAUAAUACUUUGCUGCAACCUUUAAUUAUAUUUUUACAUUGAGACUUGGUCGAUAUUUGUGUUUAUUUUCUUAACUUCAAACAUAAUUGACAAUCUUCACAAAUGUCACCUUUCUAAAGAAAGGGUCAACAUUUAGCAGUGCAUUACUAGAUUUUUCACACAUAUUCAUUAUUUUGUGGUCUUUAAGUAUUUAAUGUUGAAUAAGAAAUUCAAGCUUUACUUCUACAUGCCCACAUGUCGGAUAGUUAAUAAAUAUGUUUUUCAUUUGAAUUCAUUAAAUUUGUCUGAAGUUUCAGAAACUACUAAUACU